AGAGUUUGAUCAUGGCUCAGAAUGAACGCUGGCGGCGUGCUUAACACAUGCAAGUCGAACGAGAAAGGGAUUGCUUGCAAUCCUGAGUAGAGUGGCGCACGGGUGAGUAACACGUAGAUAAUCUACCUUCGAUUUUGGGAUAACCAUCCGAAAGGGUGGCUAAUACCGGAUAAGGUUUUAAUACGCGAGUAUAAAGAUGAAAGUAUGCCUCUUCUUGAAAGCAUAUGAUUGGAGAUGAGUCUGCGGACCAUUAGUUUGUUGGUAGGGUAAUGGCCUACCAAGACUACGAUGGUUAGCUGGUCUGAGAGGAUGAUCAGUCACACUGGAACUGGAACACGGUCCAGACUCCUACGGGAGGCAGCAGUGAGGAAUUUUGCGCAAUGGGGUAACCCCUGACGCAGCAACGCCGCGUGAGUGAAGAAGGCCUUUGGGUCGUAAAGCUCUGUCAACUGGGAAGAAGUUACAUAGAUCUAAUAGGUAUAUGUAUUGACGGUACCAGUGGAGGAAGCGCCGGCUAACUCCGUGCCAGCAGCCGCGGUAACACGGGGGGCGCAAGCGUUAUUCGGAAUUAUUGGGCGUAAAGGGCGUGUAGGCGGUCUUAUCGGUCAGAUGUGAAAGCCCAGGGCUCAACCCUGGACGUGCAUUUGAAACAGUAAGACUUGAGUACUGGAGAGGAAAGCGGAAUUCCUGGUGUAGAGGUGAAAUUCGUAGAUAUCAGGAGGAACACCGAUGGCGAAGGCAGCUUUCUGGACAGAAACUGACGCUGAUGCGCGAAGGCGUGGGUAGCGAACA
rnacentral:rRNA from 1 species